GCCUCCGCAGAGAGGCGUGGCUUUCCGCUCGGCCGCCGCAGCCGCAGUUGUAGCUGCGGCGACGACUAGGGGCGGGGCCGGUGGCUGCAAGAGCCCGCCAUAUGUUCCUAAACCUAUGGAGGCCACAAACCCUUUAAGGAGCUGAUGAAAGUGAUGAACCUUUGCACUAGAAAAAUGUACACAUUCGAAGAGGAUUUCAAGCCUCAGAAAUACCCCAAUGUUUAUCUCCAAUGAUGGAAGAGGAAGAUUAAAACAAUAAUCUGCAGAAAAGCCCUGACUUUCCAGAGAUCUAAAGUGUAAUGCAACCGUAUGUGGUUGAGAAGUUCGAAUCUUGGCUGCCUUCGCCCCUCUGCACAAACAGAAACCCCGGUUUUCGGGGACCGUGAUCUCAUCGUGUCGCUCUCACUUUUGAAGGUCUGUUAAAAGUCUGGGGCCUCUUAUCUCAA